UACGAAGGGGGCUAGCGUUGCUCGGAAUCACUGGGCGUAAAGGGUGCGUAGGCGGGUCUUUUAAGUCAGGGGUGAAAUCCUGGAGCUCAACUCCAGAACUGCCUUUGAUACUGAAGAUCUUGAGUUCGGGAGAGGUGAGUGGAACUGCGAGUGUAGAGGUGAAAUUCGUAGAUAUUCGCAAGAACACCAGUGGCGAAGGCGGACUCACUGGCCCGAUACCGUGACGCUGAGGCACGAA
rnacentral:rRNA from 1 species